GGGGAUGCACUGGUUUCGACGGGGGUGUGGAAACCGGAUAAGCGAGCCGAAGUCGCCCAGUCUUCGUAAAAAAGGGCCGUUAAAGAUAAACGCAAAAACUAACAACAACUUCGCACUGGCAGCUUAGUUCUGCCCCGCGCGUCCGCCUUUGUUCACCUGCCUUCUCUCAGUUCGUUUCCGGACGGUCAGAAGGGCGAAUCUCAAAUCGGAAACUGCGCUCGGAGAAAUUUCGGUGAAAAUGCUUUCGGACAUGGGUUCGAUUCCCAUCAUCUCCACCA
rnacentral:tmRNA from 1 species